rnacentral:rRNA from 1 species
UUAAAGGAAUUGACGGGGACCCGCACAAGCGGUGGAGGAUGUGGUUUAAUUCGACGCAACGCGAAGAACUUACCUAGGCUUGACAUGCUGGCGAAAACCGUGGAAACACGGUCCUCCGCAAGGGACGCUAGUACAGGUGGUGCAUGGCUGUCGUCAGCUCGUGCCGUGAGGUGUCGGGUUAAGUCCCAUAACGAGCGCAACCCUUAUCGUUAGUUGCCAUCUGGUAAUGCAGGGGACUCUAGCGAAACUGCCACCGUAAGGUGAGAGGAAGGUGGGGAUGACGUCAAAUCAGCACGGCCCUUAUGUCCAGGGCUACACACGUGUUACAAUGGUCGGUACAGAGGGCAGCUACCUGGUGACAGGAUGCUAAUCUCGAAAACCGGUCUCAGUUCGGAUCGAAGUCUGCAACUCGACUUCGUGAAGCUGGAUUCGCUAGUAAUCGCGCAUCAGCUAUGGCGCGGUGAAUACGUUCCCGGGCCUU